rnacentral:rRNA from 1 species
CGCUGGCGGCGUGCCUAACACAUGCAAGUCGAACGGGAUCCAUCUGCUCAGCACUGAGCGCGGGAAAGCCGGCAAAGGAGAAGCAGCCGGCAGCGUCAUGCGAGAGCGAAAGCUCGAGCAUCACGCGAUAAACCAAGAGCAUAGCACAUGCGGACUUGGGCGCUGAGUGCUGAGCAGGUGGUGAGAGUGGCGGACGGGCGAGUAACGCGUGAGCAACCUGCCCUAUACUGGGGGAUAACACCGGGAAACCGGUGCUAAUACCGCAUAAGACUACGAGAUCGCAUGGUUUUGUAGUCAAAGCUCCGGCGGUAUAGGAUGGGCUCGCGUCCAAUUAGCUAGUUGGUGAGGUAACGGCCCACCAAGGCGACGAUUGGUAGCCGAACUGAGAGGUUGAUCGGCCGCAUUGGGACUGAGACACGGCCCAGA